GCCUACGGCCAUACCACCCUGAAAGCGCCCGAUCUCGUCUGAUCUCGGAAGCUAAGCAGUGACGGGCUUGGUUAGUACCUGGAUGGGAAACCGCCUGGGAAUACCAGGUGUUGUAGGCU
rnacentral:rRNA from 1 species